GUGCUCACUUCCACAGCACAUAUAGUAAAAUUGGAACUAUACAGAGAUUAGCAUGACCCCUCUGCAAGGAUGACAUGCAGAUUUGUGAGGUGUUCCAUGGUUUA
ensembl:snRNA U6 U6 spliceosomal RNA